UACGGGGGGGGGCAAGCGUUGUUCGGAAUUACUGGGCGUAAAGGGCUCGUAGGUGGCCAACUAAGUCAGACGUGAAAUCCCUCGGCUUAACCGGGGAACUGCGUCUGAUACUGGAUGGCUUGAGUUCGGGAGAGGGAUGCGGAAUUCCAGGUGUAGCGGUGAAAUGCGUAGAUAUCUGGAGGAAUACCGGUGGCGAAGGCGGCAUCCUGGACCGGCAUUGACGCUGAGGCGCGAAAGCCAGGGGAGCAAACGGG
rnacentral:rRNA from 1 species